CCUACGGGAGGCAGCAGUGAGGAAUAUUGGUCAAUGGACGAGAGUCUGAACCAGCCAAGUAGCGUGAAGGAUGACUGCCCUAUGGGUUGUAAACUUCUUUUAUAUGGGAAUAAAAUGUUCCACGUGUGGGAUUUUGUAUGUACCAUAGGAAUAAGGAUCGGCUAACUCCGUGCCAUCAGCCGCGGUAAUACGGAGGAUCCGAGCGUUAUCCGGAUUUAUUGGGUUGAAAUGGACGGUAGGUGGAUUGUUAAGUCAGUUGUGAAAGUUUGCGGCUCAACCGUAAAAUUGCAGUUGAAACUGGCAGUCUUGAGUACAGUAGAGGUGGGCGGAAUUCGUGGUGUAGCGGUGAAAUGCUUAGAUAUCACGAAGAACUCCGAUUGCGAAGGCAGCUCACUGGACUGCAACUGACACUGAGGCUCGAAAGUGUGGGUAUCAAACAGGAUUAGAUACCCCAGUAGUC
rnacentral:rRNA from 1 species